AAUUAAGCAUUGAAAGGACUAGUAGUCUCCUAUCCCUGUUUAUGAAGAGAGCCGGUGGUUGGUGCAAAUCGGCACAAAUAGGAAUGACGAAUUACACCCUGGAGCUUUUGCUGUGAACUAAUAGUAGCAGUAAACGGAUUAAACCGUUAUAUAAAUGAGUGGAGAAGAAAUUCUCAAGUUGGGUGGUACCGCGAUGAAACAAUCGUCCCUUCG
rnacentral:ncRNA from 1 species